rnacentral:rRNA from 1 species
AAUCAACGCUGGCGGCGUGCCUAACACAUGCAAGUCGAACGCGAAAGUCCCGCAAGGGAUCAGUAGAGUGGCAAACGGGUGAGUAACACGUGGGUGACCUGCCUUCGAGUGGGGGAUAACGUCCCGAAAGGGACGCUAAUACCGCAUGACAUCCUGCUUUUGAAGAGGUGGAGAUCAAAGCCGGGGAUCCGCAAGGACCUGGCGCUUGAAGAGGGGCCCGCGCCUGAUUAGCUAGNGGUGGGGUAAUGGCUCACCAAGGCAACGAUCAGUAUCCGGCCUGAGAGGGCGGGACGGGACACACUGGGACUGAGACACGGCCCAGACUCCUACGGGAGGCAGCAGUGGGGAAUCUUGCGCAAUGGGCGAAAGCCUGACGCAGCGACGCCGCGUGAGGGA